rnacentral:rRNA from 1 species
CGAACGAAGCGGUUACAGGGAUUCCCUUCGGGGAGGAACGGUAAUUGCCUUAAUGGCGGACGGGUGAGUAACGCGUGGGCAACCUGCCCCAUACCGGGGGAUAACAGCCGGAAACGGCUGCUAAUACCGCAUACGCCCAGGAGGCUGCAUAGCUUCCUGGGGAAAACUCCGGUGGUAUGGGAUGGGCCCGCGUCUGAUUAGCUCGUUGGCGGGGUAACGGCCCACCAAGGCGACGAUCAGUAGCCGGCCUGAGAGGGCGGCCGGCCACAUUGGGACUGAGACACGGCCCAGACUCCUGCGGGAGGCAGCAGUGGGGAAUAUUGCACAAUGGGGGAAACCCUGAUGCAGCGACGCCGCGUGAGCGAUGAAGUAUCUCGGUAUGUAAAGCUCUAUCAGCAGGGAAGAAAGUGACAGUACCUGACUAAGAAGCCCCGGCUAACUACGUGCCAGCAGCCGCGGUAAUACGUAGGGGGCAAGCGCUAUCCGGAUUCACUGAGCGUAAAGGGAGCGCAGGCGGCACGGCAAGUCUGGUGUGAAAACCCGGGGCUCAACCCCGGGACUGCAUUGGAAACUGCCGGGCUGGAGUGUCGGAGGGGUAAGCGGAAUUCCUAGUGUAGCGGUGAAAUGCGUAGAUAUUAGGAGGAACACCAGUGGCGAAGGCGGCUUACUGGACGAUGACUGACGCUGAGGCUCGAAAGCGUGGGGAGCAAACAGGAUUAGAUACC